CCUGGCGGCAGUAGCGCGGUGGUCCCACCUGACCCCAUGCCGAACUCAGAAGUGAAACGCCGUAGCGCCGAUGGUAGUGUGGGGUCUCCCCAUGCGAGAGUAGGGAACUGCCAG
rnacentral:rRNA from 4 species